AGGUCCUACGGGGCGCAGCAGUGAGGAAUAUUGGUCAAUGGGCGCGAGCCUGAACCAGCCAAGUCGCGUGAGGGAUGACGGCCCUACGGGUUGUAAACCUCUUUUGCCGGGGAGCAACGGGCGCCACGUGUGGCGCCACUGAGAGUACCCGGAGAAAAAGCAUCGGCUAACUCCGUGCCAGCAGCCGCGGUAAUACGGAGGAUGCGAGCGUUAUCCGGAUUUAUUGGGUUUAAAGGGUGCGUAGGCGGUCCGGAAAGUCAGCGGUAAAAGCCCGGGGCUCAACCCCGGCGAGCCGUUGAAACUGU
rnacentral:rRNA from 1 species